rnacentral:rRNA from 1 species
UGAGCAACCUGCCUUUCAGUGGGGGACAACAUUUGGAAACGAAUGCUAAUACCGCAUAAGACCACAGUGUCGCAUGGCACAGGGGUCAAAGGAUUUAUCCGCUGAAAGAUGGGCUCGCGUCCGAUUAGCUAGAUGGUGAGGUAACGGCCCACCAUGGCGACGAUCCAUAGCCGGCCUGAGAGGGUGAACGGCCACAUUGGGACUGAGACACGGCCCAGACUCCUACGGAGGCAGCAUG